rnacentral:rRNA from 1 species
GACGAACGCUGGCGGCGUGCUUAACACAUGCAAGUCGAACGGAAAGGCCCUGCUUUUGUGGGGUGCUCGAGUGGCGAACGGGUGAGUAACACGUGAGUAACCUGCCCUUGACUUUGGGAUAACUUCAGGAAACUGGGGCUAAUACCGGAUAGGAGCUCCUGCUGCAUGGUGGGGGUUGGAAAGUUUCGGCGGUUGGGGAUGGACUCGCGGCUUAUCAGCUUGUUGGUGGGGUAGUGGCUUACCAAGGCUUUGACGGGUAGCCGGCCUGAGAGGGUGACCGGCGACAUUGGGACUGAGGUACGGACCAGACUCGUACGGGAGGCAGCAGGGGGGAAUAUUGCACAAUGGGCGGAAGCCUGAUGCAGCAACGCCGCGUGCGGGAUGACGGCCUUCGGGUUGUAAACCGCUUUCGCCUGUGACGAAGCGUGAGUGACGGUAAUGGGUAAAGAAGCACCGGCUAACUACGUG